AGAGUAACAAAUAUUUUGAGAUCGAGAGUACGUUUUUUUUAAGAAAAAGAAAAAAUUAUAAAUUAUUCGAUGAACUCAAGUGGACUAUUUGUAAGUAGCUUAUUCAGUUAUGUAUAUAACUGUCAUCCAUAAGGACAAUUGUACUUUUUCUUCUUCUUCUCUGAGCUAAAACCCUAAAGUCUUCUCAAAAAAAUGGAGUCGGAGAAACCCCAAAAUCCAUCUCCAAUGGAACCACAAGAAGAAGGCAGCAACAAAAUCUCCAAAAAAGAAGCCGCCAAGCUGGAGCGUCAGCGCCGCCGUCAAGAGGCAGCCGCCGCCGCCGCCGCCACUGCUGUCUCCACUGUCUCCAUUGAAGAAUCUGAUCCACUUUCCGGAAACUACGGUGACGUAGAGCUGAACGAUCUGCAAUCUAAGGCCGUGACGGGUCGAAAGUGGACUGAAGUUGGGUCCAUCGCGCCAGAAAUGAAGGACCGGGUGGUCUUGGUUCGGGGGAGGGUACAGACGAUUCGUCCUGUUGGGAAAAAGAUAGCUUUUGUGGUUGUGAGGGAACGAGGAUUUACGGUGCAGUGUGUAUUGACUGUGAAGCCUGAAUUGGUUAGUUCACAAAUGGUGAAAUAUGCUACUAGUUUGAGCAAAGAGUCCAUUAUUGAUGUUGAAGGUGUUGUUACAAUACCAGAGAAGCCAAUUACUGGUGCCACUCAACAACAGGUGGAAGUUCAAAUAAGCAAACUUUAUUGUGUCAACAGGGCUGUGCCCACUCUACCGAUUAAUAUUGAGGAUGCUGCUAGAAGCGAGGUGGAGAUAGAACAAGCUUUAGAGAAAGGAGAGCAGCUUGUUCGUGUAAAUCAGGAUACUCGCUUAAACUUCAGAAUACUAGACAUGCGCACACCUGCAAAUCAAGGAAUCUUCCGCAUUCAAUGUCAAAUCGAAAAUAUAUUCAGGCAGUUUUUGCUCUCUGAAGGAUUUGUAGGAAUCCAUACUCCAAAAUUGAUUGGAGGGUCUAGUGAAGGAGGUUCAGCUGUUUUCCGAUUAGAUUAUAAAGGUCAACCUGCAUGUCUGGCGCAGUCACCUCAACUUCACAAACAAAUGGCAAUAUGUGGUGAUUUUGGCCGUGUAUUUGAAGUAGGCCCCGUCUUUAGGGCAGAAGAUUCUUUUACACAUAGACAUCUGUGCGAGUUUACAGGUCUUGAUGUUGAAAUGGAGAUCAAGGAACAUUAUUCAGAGGUCAUGGAUAUUGUUGACCGCUUAUUUGUGGCCAUGUUUGAUAGCUUGAAUGAGAAAUGCAAAAAGGAACUUGAAGCCGUUGGAAAGCAAUACCCUUUUGAACCUCUGAAGUAUUUGCGAAAGACCUUACGACUUACAUUUGCUGAGGGGAUUCAAAUGCUAAAGGAAGCUGGUGUUGAAGUUGAUCCUCUUGGGGACCUAAAUACAGAAUCAGAAAGAAAGCUUGGGCAGCUUGUUGCGGAGAAGUAUGGAACUGAAUUCUAUAUACUUCACAAGUACCCACAG
rnacentral:misc_RNA from 1 species